GAUGAACGCUGGCGGCGUGCCUAAUACAUGCGAGUCGAGCGAACAGACGAGGAGCUUGCUCCUCUGACGUUAGCGGCGGACGGGUGAGUAACACGUGGAUAACCUACCUAUAAGACUGGGAUAACUUCGGGAAACCGGAGCUAAUACCGGAUAACAUGUUGAACCGCAUGGUUCAACAGUGAAAGACGGUCUUGCUGUUACUUAUAGAUGGAUCCGCGCCGCAUUAGCUAGUUGGUAAGGUAACGGCUUACCAAGGCAACGAUGCGUAGCCGACCUGAGAGGGUGAUCGGCCACACUGGAACUGAGACACGGUCCAGACUCCUACGGGAGGCAGCAGCAGGGAAUCUUCCGCAAUGGGCGAAAGCCUGACGGAGCAACGCCGCGUGAGUGAAGAAGGUCUUCGGAUCGUAAAACUCUGUUAUUAGGGAAGAACAAAUGUGUAAGUAACUAUGCACGUCUUGACGGUACCUAAUCAGAAAGCCACGGCUAACUACGUG
rnacentral:rRNA from 1 species